rnacentral:rRNA from 1 species
AUUGAACGCUGGCGGCAGGCCUAACACAUGCAAGUCGAGCGAGCGGCGGACGGGUGAGGAAUGUAUGGGGACUGCCCGAUAGAGGGGGAUAACUACUGGAAACGGUAGCUAAUACCGCAUACUAUCGGAUAACCCAUAUGGGAGUAGCUAGUAGGUGAGGUAAUGGGUCACCUAGGCGACGAUCCCUCGCUGGUCUGAGAGGAUGAUCCGCCACACUGGGACUGAGACACGGCCAAGACUCCUGCGGAGGGAUCAGUGGGGAAUUUGGCACAAUGGGCGGAAGCAGGAUGCAGCCAGGCCGCGGGUAUGAAGAAGGCCCUAGGGUUGUAAAGUACUUUCAGUCGGGAUGCGUUACCGACAGAAGAAGCACCGGCUAACUCCGUGCCAGCAGCCGCGGUAAUAC